ACGCCCUUGCUUUAGGUUAAAUUUUUAUUAAAAAAAAAAAGUCUUUGACAUUACACCCUAAACAUUAUGCGGUAUAGUAUAAUUUUGAGUGGCCCGUUUGGUUUGGCGGAAAACCCAAUUCUAUUCCAGUCCAAUUCCGCCUGGAUUCUAAGCCAGCGUUCCUGGACUCUUAUUUGGGUCGGGGUUCAAAUUCUGAGGGAGUCCUUAUUCCCAUCAAACCCGGAUUAGCAAAUCCCCCGUCCCAGCCUAGAUUUCGAAUUCGGACCUCCUCAGAGUUGGGCCCGAGGAUGAGAUACCAAAUAUACCCCCAGCUCUUGCUUCCCUCCGCCACCGCUGCCGCUGAUCUUGCCGCGGCCACCUGUUGACCUCUGGUGAUGGAGCUUGGACCAACCUCUCCGGGCUAGUCUCGGCACGGCGAGGCUGGAUCUGACCUCAAGGACGCUCGCGGAAACCCUAGCAAGAGAGAGAGAGAGAGAGAGACGACGACGACGACGACUCCGACUCUGUGCAGCUCGAGAUCCUCCUUCCGAAGGAGCCAAAGCUAAUCAAUCAUGAUGAGAUCGCUAUCUGAAGCCUGAAUCGUGGAAUGAUGGGUCGAUCACCAAAGAGGAUGAAUUUCUCCAAUUAAAAUUUGAGAGGAGGGACAGAAAGCUAACGUAACCAAUCAGGAACCAUCGAUGCCAUUUCCAUUCUCGACAUGAAUGGCCUAUGAUGAUGGUUGAAAUCGAAAUUGGUAUAGAAAACUUGGAGAAGGGGAAGUCGGUUGAUCACAUGAUUGUGAAGAUUUCACUCUCUUGCUAUAUAGCUGGGGAAUGGCGACUCGGAAUAUGUUCUGUUUUACCGAGAACAAUCAAUCCUUAUGUUUGAUCCGGAUUGCUGCAUUUUAGAGUCAUAAAAAUGAAAGCGAUGUGCAGAGAUGGCUCACGAUAUCUUGAGGAUUACUGUCAUGAAUUAAGAAUUUAUAUCAAUGGUCUAGUUAGGGAGAGAUAUGAUCAUUUGAGGGUUUCUCUCCUUAGAUAGCAUUCCCUUCUAUACCAAAAUGUUGGCGCUAGCAAUUGAAGUCUAGAGGCCACGAUUAUUAGCCGCGACUAUUAUAACAAUAAUCGAGUGGCCAGGCUCCCAUAAUGGUAGGCCAUUUUUUGUAGAUCCUAAAAGUGCACAUGAACAGAUAUAUUUCUUAUUUGA